GCAGCCGCCGCGGGAAUAGGUAGGUGGCAAGCGUUGUCCGGAAUUAUUGGGCGUAAAGGGCUCGCAGGCGGUUUCUUAAGUCUGAUGUGAAAGCCCCCGGCUCAACCGGGGAGGGUCAUUGGAAACUGGGAAACUUGAGUGCAGAAGAGGAGAGUGGAAUUCCACGUGUAGCGGUGAAAUGCGUAGAGAUGUGGAGGAACACCGGUGGCGAAGGCGACUCUCUGAUCUGUAACUGACGCUGAGGAGCGAAAGCGUGGGGAGCGAACAGGAUUAGAUACCCCGGUAGUCCCUGUCUCUUAUAC
rnacentral:rRNA from 1 species